AAUUUUGAUGAAUGAAUCAUUUUAUGACAUUACUGUAUUAACAGAAUUUAACUGUAACUAUAAAUCUACUGAUAGAACUUGAUUAUAAAUAUGAAUCGAACCUAUGGUUUCUGAUUAGAUCUGAUGUGAUACCCAUACAUGCCCUCUGGCUCUGAUGUCAUUUGUCGAAUCGUUGGCGCUAAUUAUUAAUCUCAAAAGCUCCAGCUGUUAGAAAUACACAAACAAUUCACUUAAAGCGUUUAGACAUGACAUUCAUAGGUUUCGAUUGUGACUCUGAUCCAACCAGCCUCACGCCACUUCGAAUAUGACUUGACCUAAUCCGACCUUCCGCCAUUUCGACCGUGCCUCCGUCCGAUCUGACCUUCCGCCAAAAGACAGAAUGUUAGUCCCUUUAAGCCAAUCAGUUUAACCUUUCUA
rnacentral:lncRNA from 1 species